rnacentral:sRNA from 1 species
GUCGUGAGAUGUUGGGUUAAGUCCCGCAACGAGCGCAACCCUUGUCCCUAGUUGCUACGCAAGGGCACUCUAGGGAGACUGCCGGUGACAAACCGGAGGAAGGUGGGGAUGACGUCAAGUCCUCAUGGCCCUUAUGGGUAGGGCUUCACACGUCAUACAAUGGCCGGUACAGAGGGUUGCCAACCCGCGAGGGGGAGCCAAUCCCAGAAAGCCGGUCGUAGUCCGGAUUGCAGUCUGCAACUCGACUGCAUGAAGUCGGAAUCGCUAGUAAUCGCGGAUCAGCAUGUCGCGGUGAAUACGUUCCCGGGUCUUGUACACACCGCCCGUCACACCAUGGGAGCGGGAUGUACCAGAAGUAGGUAGGCUAACCCGAGGGUAACUGAGGGGGGCCGCUUACCACGGUGCGUUUCGUGACUGGGGUGAAGUCGUAACAAGGUAGCCGUACCGGAAGGUGCGGCUGGAUCACCUCCUUUCUAAGGAGAACAGUUCAAUCGUUGGUAGGCAUUCGUCCUACCCGGUUCGAACCACUCCCAGUUGGUGCAUUGGUGGGUGUGGUCGAAAUGGCAGGUUAAUCGCAGGAUUCGUCCUCUUGACAGGCCGGCUCGACACACUUUGUCUUCUCUUCCGUUUUGAGGGAGCCGACCCAUUCGGGUCGACCGACCUCGGCGAACGGCACGGAGCUCGCGCUCCCGCUGCCCACGGUGUGCCCCGCACGAUCCGACUCUGCCAAUGACGCUUCCAGCAAUGGAGGCACGUCAGGUGGUCGUCGUGUGUUGCGGCCCCGUUCGCUGCCCUUUGAGAACUGCAGAGCAAGCACGAGCAUCUUUGUUCUUCCAAGCUACAAAGAGCCAACGGUGGAUGCCUUGGCGCCAAGAACCGAUGAAGGACGUGAGUGACUGCGAAAAGCUGCGGGUAGCCGUCUACUAGGCCUUGAUCCGCAGAUGU